GGUUAAGCGACUAAGCGUACACGGUGGAUGCCCUGGCAGUCAGAGGCGAUGAAGGACGUGCUAAUCUGCGAUAAGCGUCGGUAAGGUGAUAUGAACCGUUAUAACCGGCGAUUUCCGAAUGGGGAAACCCAGUGUGUUUCGACACACUAUCAUUAACUGAAUCCAUAGGUUAAUGAGGCGAACCGGGGGAACUGAAACAUCUAAGUACCCCGAGGAAAAGAAAUCAACCGAGAUUCCCCCAGUAGCGGCGAGCGAACGGGGAGCAGCCCAGAGCCUGAAUCAGUGUGUGUGUUAGUGGAAGCGUCUGGAAAGGCGCGCGAUACAGGGUGACAGCCCCGUACACAAAAAUACACAUACUGUGAGCUCGAUGAGUAGGGCGGGACACGUGGUAUCCUGUCUGAAUAUGGGGGGACCAUCCUCCAAGGCUAAAUACUCCUGACUGACCGAUAGUGAACCAGUACCGUGAGGGAAAGGCGAAAAGAACCCCGGCGAGGGGAGUGAAAAAGAACCUGAAACCGUGUACGUACAAGCAGUGGGAGCACGCUUAGGCGUGUGACUGCGUACCUUUUGUAUAAUGGGUCAGCGACUUAUAUUCUGUAGCAAGGUUAACCGAAUAGGGGAGCCGAAGGGAAACCGAGUCUUAACUGGGCGUUAAGUUGCAGGGUAUAGACCCGAAACCCGGUGAUCUAGCCAUGGGCAGGUUGAAGGUUGGGUAACACUAACUGGAGGACCGAACCGACUAAUGUUGAAAAAUUAGCGGAUGACUUGUGGCUGGGGGUGAAAGGCCAAUCAAACCGGGAGAUAGCUGGUUCUCCCCGAAAGCUAUUUAGGUAGCGCCUCGUGAAUUCAUCUCCGGGGGUAGAGCACUGUUUCGGCAAGGGGGUCAUCCCGACUUACCAACCCGAUGCAAACUGCGAAUACCGGAGAAUGUUAUCACGGGAGACACACGGCGGGUGCUAACGUCCGUCGUGAAGAGGGAAACAACCCAGACCGCCAGCUAAGGUCCCAAAGUCAUGGUUAAGUGGGAAACGAUGUGGGAAGGCCCAGACAGCCAGGAUGUUGGCUUAGAAGCAGCCAUCAUUUAAAGAAAGCGUAAUAGCUCACUGGUCGAGUCGGCCUGCGCGGAAGAUGUAACGGGGCUAAACCAUGCACCGAAGCUGCGGCAGCGACGCUUAUGCGUUGUUGGGUAGGGGAGCGUUCUGUAAGCCUGCGAAGGUGUGCUGUGAGGCAUGCUGGAGGUAUCAGAAGUGCGAAUGCUGACAUAAGUAACGAUAAAGCGGGUGAAAAGCCCGCUCGCCGGAAGACCAAGGGUUCCUGUCCAACGUUAAUCGGGGCAGGGUGAGUCGACCCCUAAGGCGAGGCCGAAAGGCGUAGUCGAUGGGAAACAGGUUAAUAUUCCUGUACUUGGUGUUACUGCGAAGGGGGGACGGAGAAGGCUAUGUUGGCCGGGCGACGGUUGUCCCGGUUUAAGCGUGUAGGCUGGUUUUCCAGGCAAAUCCGGAAAAUCAAGGCUGAGGCGUGAUGACGAGGCACUACGGUGCUGAAGCAACAAAUGCCCUGCUUCCAGGAAAAGCCUCUAAGCAUCAGGUAACAUCAAAUCGUACCCCAAACCGACACAGGUGGUCAGGUAGAGAAUACCAAGGCGCUUGAGAGAACUCGGGUGAAGGAACUAGGCAAAAUGGUGCCGUAACUUCGGGAGAAGGCACGCUGAUAUGUAGGUGAAGUCCCUCGCGGAUGGAGCUGAAAUCAGUCGAAGAUACCAGCUGGCUGCAACUGUUUAUUAAAAACACAGCACUGUGCAAACACGAAAGUGGACGUAUACGGUGUGACGCCUGCCCGGUGCCGGAAGGUUAAUUGAUGGGGUCAGCGCAAGCGAAGCUCUUGAUCGAAGCCCCGGUAAACGGCGGCCGUAACUAUAACGGUCCUAAGGUAGCGAAAUUCCUUGUCGGGUAAGUUCCGACCUGCACGAAUGGCGUAAUGAUGGCCAGGCUGUCUCCACCCGAGACUCAGUGAAAUUGAACUCGCUGUGAAGAUGCAGUGUACCCGCGGCAAGACGGAAAGACCCCGUGAACCUUUACUAUAGCUUGACACUGAACAUUGAGCCUUGAUGUGUAGGAUAGGUGGGAGGCUUUGAAGUGUGGACGCCAGUCUGCAUGGAGCCGGCCUUGAAAUACCACCCUUUAAUGUUUGAUGUUCUAACGUUGACCCGUAAUCCGGGUUGCGGACAGUGUCUGGUGGGUAGUUUGACUGGGGCGGUCUCCUCCUAAAGAGUAACGGAGGAGCACGAAGGUUGGCUAAUCCUGGUCGGACAUCAGGAGGUUAGUGCAAUGGCAUAAGCCAGCUUGACUGCGAGCGUGACGGCGCGAGCAGGUGCGAAAGCAGGUCAUAGUGAUCCGGUGGUUCUGAAUGGAAGGGCCAUCGCUCAACGGAUAAAAGGUACUCCGGGGAUAACAGGCUGAUACCGCCCAAGAGUUCAUAUCGACGGCGGUGUUUGGCACCUCGAUGUCGGCUCAUCACAUCCUGGGGCUGAAGUAGGUCCCAAGGGUAUGGCUGUUCGCCAUUUAAAGUGGUACGCGAGCUGGGUUUAGAACGUCGUGAGACAGUUCGGUCCCUAUCUGCCGUGGGCGCUGGAGAACUGAGGGGGGCUGCUCCUAGUACGAGAGGACCGGAGUGGACGCAUCACUGGUGUUCGGGUUGUCAUGCCAAUGGCACUGCCCGGUAGCUAAAUGCGGAAGAGAUAAGUGCUGAAAGCAUCUAAGCACGAAACUUGCCCCGAGAUGAGUUCUCCCUGACUCCUUGAGAGUCCUGAAGGAACGUUGAAGACGACGACGUUGAUAGGCCGGGUGUGUAAGCGCAGCGAUGCGUUGAGCUAACCGGUACUAAUGAACCGUGAGGCUUAACCUU
rnacentral:rRNA from 1 species